GGUGACUAGGUGUGUACAGGUGAGUUCAGAUGUGUACAGGUGAGUUCAGAUGUGUACAGGUGUGUACAGGUGAGUUCAGCUGUGUACAGGUAAGUUCAGGUGUGUACAGGUGAGUUCAGAUGUGUACAAGUGAGUUCAGGUGUGUACAAGUGAGUUCAGGUGUGUACAGGUGAGUUCAAGUGAGUUCAGGUGUGUACAGGUGAGUUCAGAUGUGUACAGGUGAGUUCAGGUGUGUACAAGUGAGUUCAGGUGUGUACAGGUGAGUUCAAGUGUGUACAGGUGUGUACAGGUGAGUUCAGAUGUGCACAGGUGAGUUCAGGUGUGUACAGGUGAGUUCAGGU